UUUUGGAAGUUGCGGGUUUUCCAACAAUGAAUCCACCUAACAAAAAGUUUGUUGUUAUAAAAAAUCUCCUUCAAGGUCAUUAAAGGUUUUUGGGACGGCAAUAUUUGAUGGUGGAACCAUUUUUUUGCUCGAGUGCUAUGAAGUUUUUUUUAUAGUGUGAGGUUGAUGUUGAUAGAAUAAUGAGUUUUAUAGAGACUUUCUUGAUGUAAAACUAUAUUUUUUUUUGUUUAAUGUGGUAUUUUCAUUUUUACAUAAUUUACUACCAUUUUAAGAUAGAUGUCCAUUUUAUUUAAUGUACUCUUUCCAUUUUUUUGAAAACUGUGCAUUUACUUAUUAUUGUAUAUAUAAUUCAUAUAUUUAUAUAUUUAUAAUAUUUACUUAUUAUUUAUUUUUCUAUAUAUUUUGUAUUUCUCUUUCUUAUAUUUUAUAUUUUUUUAAUAUCUAUAUUUUAUAUUUUAAGAUAUAUGUUUAAAUUUUAAUGUAUUUUUCCAUUUUUAAUGUAAAACGGCAAUGUUUAAUAGAAGAACUGGACAAAUUGUCAAAUAGUUAUAUUUAUGUUUUUUUCUUUUUUUAUAAAAUGGUAAUGUUACAUUAUGGAGAUAAACCGUUUUUUUUUGUGAAAAAUGGUAAUCUUACAUAUGUUUAAUGUUGUUUUUCCAUUUUUUAUGUUGUAUGUUUACAUAUUAUUUUUAAAAAUGUAAAAUAGUAAUCUUACAUAUGUUUAAUGUAGUAUUUCCAUUUUUAUGUUGUAUGUUUACAUAUAUUUAUUAUUUUCGAAAUUAUAUAUAAUGUUUUUUGAAUUUUUUUAUAAAACGGUAAUGUUACAUUAUGGAGAUAAGCCGUCUUUUUUUCAAGUGAAAAAGGGUAAUCUUACAUAUGUUUAAUGUAGUUUUUUCAUUUUUUAUGCUGUAUGUUUAAAUAUUAUUUAUAAUUUUCGAAAAUUAGUAAUAUUAAAAUGUAAAACUAUAUUUUAUGCCACGUGUCAUCUUUCGGAAGAAGUUUUUUUUGCUUAUGUGGACGCUCUAUGGAGCCUCAAGAUUAUAUAGCAAAUUACAUGAGUUCAUGGGUGUAUCUACGCCAAUUACUCUAUAUUUAAUGUAGUAUUUUCAUUUUUUAUGUUGUAUGUUUACAUAUUAUUUAUUAUUUUCGAAAUUAUAUAUAAUGUUUUUUUUUACAAAAUAGUAAUGUUACAUUAUGUAGAUAAACCGUCUUUUUUAGUGAAAAAUGGUAAUCUUACAUAUGUUUAAUGUUGUUUUCCAUUUUUUAUGUUGUAUGUUUACAUAUUAUUUUUUAAAAUAAAAAUGUAAAAUAGUAAUCUUACAUAUGUUUAAUGUAGUAUUUCCAUUUUUAUGUUGUAUGUUUACAUAUAUUUAUUAUUUUCGAAAUUAUAUAUAAUGUUUUUUGACUUUUUUUAUAAAACGGUAAUGUUACAUUAUGGAGAUAAGCCGUCUUUUUUCGGAAGAAGUUUUUUUUGCUUAUGUGGAUGCUCUAUGGAGCCUCAAGGUUAUAUAGCAAAUUACAUGAGUUUAUGGGUGUAUCUACGCCAAUUACUCUAUAUUUAAUGUAGUAUUUCUAUUUUUUAUGUUGUAUGUUUACAUAUAUUUAUUAUUUUCGAAAUUAUAUAUAAUGUUUUUUGUUUUUUUUAUAAAACGGUAGUAUUACAUUAUGGAAUUAAGCCGUCUUUCCAUUUUUUUUUAAAUUGUGCAUUUACUUAUUAUUGUAUAUAUAAUUCGUAUAUUUAUAUAUUUAUAAUAUUUACUUAUUAUUUAUGUUUUUAUAUAUUGAGUAUUUCUCUUUCUUAUACUUUAUAUUUAGUUAAUGUCUAUAUUUUAUAUUUUAAGAUAGAUGUUUAAAUCUUUACGUAUUUUUCCAUUUUUAAUGUAAAAUGGCAAUGUUUAAUAGAAGAACUUGAACAAAUAGUCAAACAUAUUUAUGUUUAAUGUAGUAUUUCCAUUUUU
rnacentral:lncRNA from 1 species